rnacentral:rRNA from 1 species
CAGUCGCCACGGUAAUACGAAGGGUGCAAGCGUUAAUCGGAAUUACUGGGCGUAAAGCGUGCGUAGGCGGUGAGUUAAGUCUGCUGUGAAAUCCCCGGGCUCAACCUGGGAAUGGCAGUGGAUACUGGCUCGCUAGAGUGUGUCAGAGGAUGGUGGAAUUCCCGGUGUAGCGGUGAAAUGCGUAGAGAUCGGGAGGAACAUCAGUGGCGAAGGCGGCCAUCUGGGACAACACUGACGCUGAGGCACGAAAGCGUGGGGAGCAAACAGGAUUAGAUACCCCCGUAGUCCCUGUCUCUUAUUC